rnacentral:lncRNA from 1 species
ACAUUAGAUCAUUCAUAUGGUGUAUAUGUUACACAUUAGAUCAUUCACAUUGUGUAUAUGCUACAUAUUAGAUCAUUCACAUUGUGUAUAUGUUACACAUUAGAUCAUUCACAUGGUGUAUAUGUUACACAUUAGAUCAUUCACAUUGUGUAUAUGUUACACAUUAGAUCAUUCAUAUGGUGUAUAUGUUACACAUUAGAUCAUUCACAUGGUGUAUAUGUUACACAUUAGAUCAUUCAUAUGGUGUAUAUGUUACACAUUAGAUCAUUCACAUUGUGUAUAUGCUACACAUUAGAUCAUUCAUAUGGUGUAUAUGUUACACAUUAGAUCAUUCACAUUGUGUAUAUGCUACACAUUAGAUCAUUCAUAUGGUGUAUAUGCUACACAUUAGAUCAUUCAUAUGGUGUAUAUGCUACACAUUAGAUCAUUCAUAUGGUGUAUAUGUUACACAUUAGAUCAUUCAUAUGGUGUAUAUGUUACACAUUAGAUCAUUCAUAUGGUGUAUAUGUUACACAUUAGAUCAUUCACAUGGUGUAUAUGCUACACAUUAGAUCAUUCAUAUGGUGUAUAUGUUACACAUUAGAUCAUUCAUAUGGUGUAUAUGCUACACAUUAGAUCAUUCAUAUGGUGUAUAUGCUACACAUUAGAUCAUUCAUAUGGUGUAUAUAUUACACAUUAGAUCAUUCACAUGGUGUAUAUGUUACACAUUAGAUCAUUCAUAUGGUGUAUAUGUUACACAUUAGAUCAUUCAUAUGGUGUAUAUGCUACACAUUAGAUCAUUCACAUUGUGUAUAUGUUACACAUUAGAUCAUUCAUAUGGUGUAUAUGUUACACAUUAGAUCAUUCACAUUGUGUAUAUGUUACACAUUAGAUCAUUCACAUGGUGUAUAUGUUACACAUUAGAUCAUUCAUAUGGUGUAUAUGUUACACAUUAGAUCAUUCAUAUGGUGUAUAUGUUACACAUUAGAUCAUUCACAUGGUGUAUAUGUUACACAUUGGAUCAAUCAAAUGGUGCAUAUGUUACACAUUGGAUCAUUCAUAUGGUGUAUAUGUUACACAUUAGAUCAUUCACAUUGUGUAUAUGUUACACAUUAGAUCAUUCACAUUGUGUAUAUGUUACACAUUAGAUCAUUCACAUGGUGUAUAUGUUACACAUUAGAUCAUUCACAUGGUGUAUAUGUUACACAUUAGAUCAUUAUAUGUUACACAUUAGAUCAUUCACAUGGUGUAUAUGUUACACAUUAGAUCAUUCACAUGUGUAUAUGUUACACAUUAGAUCAAUCAAAUGGUGUAUAUGUUACACAUUGGAUCAUUCAUAUGGUGUAUAUGUUACACAUUAGAUCAUUCACAUUGUGUAUAUGCUACACAUUAGAUUAUUCACAUCGUGUAUAUGUUACACAUUAGAUCAUUCACAUGGUGUAUAUGUUACUCAUUAGAUCAUUCACAUGGUGUAUAUGUUACACAUUAGAUCAUUCACAUGGUGUAUAUGUUACACAUUGGAUCAAUCAAAUGGUGUAUAUGUUACACAUUAGAUCAUUCAUAUGGUGUAUAUGUUACACAUUUGAUCAUUCACAUGGUGUAUAUGUUACACAUUAGAUCAUUCACAUGGUGUAUAUGUUACACAUUAGAUCAUUCACAUGGUGUAUAUGUUACACAUUGUAUAUGUUACACAUUGGAUCAUUCAUAUGGUGUAUAUGUUACACAUUAGAUCAAUCAAAUGGUGUAUAUGUUACACAUUGGAUCAUUCAUAUGGUGUAUAUGUUACACAUUAGAUCAAUCAAAUGGUGUAUAUGUUAUGGUGUAUAUGUUACACAUUAGAUCAAUCAAAUGGUGCAUAUGUUACACAUUGGAUCAUUCAUAUGGUGUAUUUGUUACACAUUAGAUCAUUCACAUUGUGUAUAUGCUACACAUUAGAUUAUUCACAUCGUGUAUAUGUUACACAUUAGAUCAUUCACAUGGUGUAUAUGUUACACAUUAGAUCAUUCAUAUGGUGUAUCAUUCAUAUGGUGUAUAUGUUACACAUUGGAUCAUUCAUAUGGUGUAUAUGUUACACAUUAGAUCAUUCACAUGGUGUAUAUGUUACACAUUAGAUCAUUCACAUGGUGUAUAUGUUACACAUUGGAUCAUUCAUAUGGUGUAUAUGUUACACAUUGGAUCAUUCACAUGGUGUAUAUGUUACACAUCAGAUCAUUCACAUCGUGUAUAUGUUACACAUUGGAUCAUUCACAUUGUGUAUAUGUUACACAUUGGAUCAUUCAUAUGGUGUAUAUGUUACACAUUAGAUCAUUCACAUUGUGUAUAUGUUACACAUUAGAUCAUUCAUAUGGUGUAUAUGUUACACAUUAGAUCAUUCAUAUGGUGUAUAUGUUACACAUUAGAUCAUUCACACGGUGUAUAUGUUACACAUUAGAUCAUUCACAUGGUGUAUAUGUUACACAUUGGAUCAUUCAUAUGGUGUAUAUGUUACACAUUGGAUCAUUCAUAUGGUGUAUAUGUUACACAUUGGAUCAUUCAUAUGGUGUAUAUGUUACACAUUAGAUCAUUCACAUGGUGUAUAUGUUACACAUUAGAUCAUUCAUAUGGUGUAUAUGUUACACAUUAGAUCAUUCAAAUGGUGUAUAUGUUACACAUUAGAUCAUUCAUAUGGUGUAUAUGUUACACAUUAGAUCAAUCAAAUGGUGUAUAUGUUACACAUUGGAUCAUUCAUAUGGUGUAUAUGUUACACAUUGGAUCAUUCAUAUGGUGUAUAUGUUACACAUUAGAUCAUUCACAUGGUGUAUAUGUUACACAUUAGAUCAUUCACAUGGUGUAUAUGUUACACAUUAGAUCAUUCAUAUGGUGUAUAUGCUACACAUUAGAUCAUUCACAUGGUGUAUAUGUUACACAUUAGAUCAUUCAUAUGGUGUAUAUGUUACACAUUAGAUCAUUCACAUUGUGUAUAUGUUACACAUUAGAUCAUUCACAUGGUGUAUAUGUUACACAUUGGAUCAUUCACAUGGUGUAUAUGUUACACAUUAGAUCAUUCAUAUGGUGUAUAUGUUACACAUUAGAUCAUUCAUAUGGUGUAUAUGUUACACAUUAGAUCAUUCACAUUGUGUAUAUGUUACACAUUGGAUCAUUCAUAUGGUGUAUAUGUUACACAUUAGAUCAUUCACAUGGUGUAUAUGUUACACAUUAGAUCAUUCACAUGGUGUAUAUGCUUCACAUUAGUUCAUUCACAUUGUGUAUUUGCUACACAGUUCAAUACACAUGGUGUAUAAUAGGCUAUGCUAUAUUGUAUAUUAAUUUCCUUGCACACGAAUUUCUAAAUCCACUGAUAUUUAUUUGUUUAUUUAUUUAUUAAUUUAUUGGUGCAUACUGGUCAUUGAUCGUUAGAUAAAUCUUUGAUCUUGUCUGUAUUUUUGAGAUGUGAAAUUUCCAUUAUUAUAGACUGAUAUAUUCGGACUGGUGUACUCAUUUUGGUUGUUAGAAUCGUAUCGUUUCGGGAGUUUAGUUAUACACCCGUAGAAAACGAUGUCGGUGGCAACAGUAGUAAAGCAUGAGUAUGAGUGUAGUAGUAUAUGUAUGCGUGUGUGUAUGUGUGUGUGUGUGUGUGCGUGUACCUGGGUUUUCAAGCAUACGUAUACAUAUAACAGGAGUAUAAUAUUUGUAUUAAUAUCCGUCUCUAGCCUACGUGUGUACAUGUAUAUGUAUGCAGAUGCGUAUGCGCGCGUGUGUGUGUGUGAGUGUGCAUACAUGUAUAUGGGUUCGUUUGCACGUGUAUAUCUAUGCAUCUGUGUAUAUCGGUGCUUGCGCGCGCGAAUGUGUGUAUGUGUGUCUGUGUUACUGUGUGUGCGUGUGUGUGCGUGUGUGUGUGAUCUGUUUUUCCUGCAUCAUGUGUAAUGUAUACUUCUUUGAUAUAAAUUCGCCAGAAUUUGCCUGCCAUAAACGCAGUGACAUCAAGAAAACGUAAGAUGUUAAUAACCUCUUAAUGCGCACGACAAUGGCGCAAAACAUGCCGUUAUUGUUGUGAUUGGGAGAUAGUUAAAAUGUAGUUAAGUAGGUAAUAACACAUCUAAUGCUUGCACGUAACAUAAAAAGCUAAAAUAUGAUCAAAAUAUGCAGCGAGAGAAAGAUAGUGUCUGUCGAUGUUACUAGUAUUAUUUGCUCAUUUCUGGUUUUAUCGGGAAGUACGGUAGACAACUCGAGAUUUAUGUGAGCCUUAUUGGGCAACCUCAGAGGAGCUGCUGAAAUAAUGUCAAACGAAUCACUCAGUUAAUAUAUAGAGAUGUAUGUUUGUCAGGUUGUUACUAUGGCCAAGUAGACAUUAUAUAUGUAUAUAUAUACUAUAGAAGAGCUCAAAUGCAUCAAGGCAAAUUAACUAGGAAGCGCAUGCGCAUCAGUGGCUGAACAGAUUACUCGGAAAAAUUUCCAGGUUAUUCAACUGUUCAGUUCAGUAGAAGACUAUACAGAGUUAAACGAUUGUUAGCUGGUCUCGGUCAUUCUGCUGUCCUUGUGUAUAUCAAAGGCUUAAUUAAUGUAACGUUUAGUAAACAAGACCGGAUGGAUAAUUUAAAAUAUCACCAUGCACGUUUUUGAAAAUGUGCAUGGGGAUAUUUUAAUAGUGUAGUGAUGUAUUAAAUUAACCAUUCAGAUUUGCUUACUCUCUUUAUAUAUUUAUAUAUAUAUAUAUGUAUGUAUAUAUAUAACCGUGUGUGUAUGGGGGGGAGUGUGUAUAUACAUGCAUAUAUAUAUAUAUACUAGCACUAUGGCUCGGCAACGCCGGCCGGGUCACAGUGCGAGUGCAUGCAUAUACCGCUGCGUGCAUGCACACAUACACGCGAGUACUGUCCGAAUCUCCGACCAAUCACAUACAGGUAGCUGGCAUUCAAUUGGCGUAUCAAGUUUCGGGCAUUUUGAUUGGGUUUUGGAUAGAAAAUUCAUAAAAAAGUCACUUCUAUUGAUUUUUUAACGACUUUGCGGGGUGACUGGGGAAAUGUAAAGAUAUGCAAGACCACCCUUGGACGGUUUAGAAUGACCAUAGAAAGUGCAAGCUCACUAAGUAAAAAAUUGGGUAUUUGUAUAAAGGACACACACACACACAUACACGAACAUUUUGCCGUUUAUAUAUAUAGGGAUAUAUAAGUAAAAAUUUAGAUUCAUGUGAAUAUGGUAGUCAAGUUGAGGCACCAGAAUUUAGUAUGGUAUUACUCUUUUAUUCUCUUACUCUUUUACUUGUUUCAGUCAUUUGACUGCGGCCAUUUAUAUCAAAGAAGUAUACACUAUACGUAAUGCAGGAAAAACAGAUCACACACACUCACACACACACACACGCACACGCACACACACGCACGCACGCGCGCGCACACACACACAUUCACAUGGUGCUCCAGCAUGACUGCAGUCAAAUGACUGAAACAAGUAAAAGAGCAAAAGAGUAAAAGAGUAUAUUAUUGAACGCCACGCAUCCAUUUAUCUAUCUAUCUAUCUAUCUAUCUAUCUAUCUAUCUAUCUACCCAUCUAUCUAUCUAUCUAUCUAUCUAUCUAUCUAUCUAUCUAUCUAUCUAUCUAUCUAUCUAUCUAUAUAUAUAUAUAUAUAUAUAUAUAUAUAUAUAUAUGCGCGCAUGUGUGUAUUGAUGGAAGUAUGGAUUAAUAGAUGGAUGCUUCUUUAUGGUUUGAACUUCCCACGAUGGUUUCCAUGAUCCAAUAAUCCAAGGAAUUUAUGUGUUCAAUCGCUUUGAUUUAACGACAAAGCAGUAUAAAAUACUCACUGAAUAUUUUAUAGCGAUCUUUUUGCUGUUGAGUUGCAAAGAAAUAUCCUUCGACAUGUAACGAUCAACGGAUCCAAGAGUAAGUCUACAUUUCUUGUCGACAUUGGCGAUUUUAAGGUUUCCCAGGAAAAUAGCCCAAGUAUGAUAUUUCGUUGGUGUGUAGAGUAUUUGAAUACACAUACGCGUGACCGUACACACACACACACACGCACACACUCACACACACAUGCAUAUACACACAUACACACACACAUACAUAUACACACAUACACACACACUGUCCGUCACGUGGCUUCGUCCCGCUUUUUCCACGCAUCAGUUGUAUAGAACCAACGACUUCAUCUCAUGGAGAUGAAUAAAAAUACAUGUAUCUUUUAUUUUUUAAAAUAUUUUACUUGUUUCAGUCAUUAGACUGCGGCCAUGGUGGGGCACCGCCCUGAAGACCGUUUGGUCGAAUGUAUCAAACCCAGUAUUUAGUGGUUUCCCUCUAAUAUAUAUAUAUAUUAUAUAUAUAUAUAUAUAUAUAAUAUAUAUAUAUAUAUAUAUAUAUAUAUAUAUAUAUAUAUAUAUAUUUAUAUAUAUAUUUAUAGGGUGGCGAAUACUCGUUAUAAAUAUCACCACCAGUGGCCUAGCAUGUAUAAAAAGUCAAUAGGCAACAUAUUCGUAUUUCAAAAUGGAAAAUUACCCUUUAACAGGUAAUUUUUACAUGAUAGAAAUAGCAGCCAACACGGCCAAAAACCACAAUUUUAUAGUAAAUUUCGAAGAGAUGAAAAAUAAAACCCUUUACCUUGUUAUAUAACGGUUAUUCAUGGUUUCGAAUUUCUUUAGCAAAUAAUAUUGCUUGCCAUCUUUUAAUAGAUAAUUUAGCAUGACCAUAUUAUCUACCAGGCGAAUUCUCGUCAGUAACAGGCCUAAACAACUAACUUAUAAUUCAGAGACAAGAUAACACGUGUACCAUCAUUAUAUGCUAUAAUUUUUUAAAUAUCGCGCGCAGGCGCAUUUACAUUUCUAUUGUAUGUGUCUUCAUUUGCGCAUGCUUAUAUCUCUAUGUGCGUCUAUGUUUAGUUAGUGUGUGUGUGGGGGGGAUGCCUGUAAUAUUUGUAUCUUCUGUUUAUAUAUAUAUAUAUAUAUAUAUAUAUAUAUAUAUGCGUGUGUGUUUGUAUAUGUAUGUAUAUAUAUUGUAGAGUUGUUACGAGUAAACAAGUCUUUUCCUGGUGCCCCCCACUAUUUUUAGAUCCUCCUAGUAAGGGGCUCUUUUUACAACGAUGUUGUUUAUCUUCGUCCUCCUCUACGUAGCAUGCAGAUUAGAAGCAAACUCGUGGCUUGGGUUAUACUAUUUCUAAAAUUGUUUACGAUGCUAAAGUCUUUCAGUUUGGGUCUUGGAGUUAUGCUUAAUAGUUGUUCAUUUUCUCUUGCGAUUUAGAGUGAAAUCUUAAUACAUCGCCUAACAUUUAAUAAUACUAUUGGUAUUUCACGGUCCGAUUCUUCGGUGUAGUGUGCUUAUGCUUUCCUCUCGUUCUGUUGCCAUCCUGGUCACAUACUAUGAAAGCAUUUUCCAGACUUUCCUUAAGAAUAGCAUCAGCCAUAACCAAGAAGAUAUUAAUAUUCUAAUCAGUAUUAUAACACUUUUUAUCUUAUACUCACCGAUAUCACCGAUAACUUAUGCCAUAAAAGUAUUUUUCCUUUUUUCCCCCCUUACUCUCGCCAAACAGGUCUUUUAUUUAACGAUAGCAGAGACAAGCCGAAAAAAUUAUUUUCAGAGGUUUUAAAAUGUUUUAUAACUGUAUAUGUUCCGCACCUCUGCUGGAUCAAUAUACAGAGAUACCGAUCUGACACGGUAUAUUUCCAUUCUUAUCAAUCUCGAUGACAGUUUUUGGCUGAUACAGUCGGAAAGGCAACUUAAUAUCCCAAAACUAGGAACAUCGAUUGUUAUUUGUGAGAGUAAUUUUGGAGACAUAGAUAAAUACCUGUUGUACCUGUUUAGCCUUGAUGUGGCAAAGGUUAGUUAGCAUGUCCCGGAAUUGGCUCCGGAAGGUCAAUUACAGAUGCCCCAACCGACUCAGUUUGGAUGAGGCCCUUCGGCUCUUUUGGUGUUCAUCUAAGAGAAGAUAGCUCCAUGCAAAUCAUGCACCCUAAUAACUACUGGGGUCAUAGAACUUGUUGCAUCAGAAGAAUAUAAGUUUGAAAGAUGAAACAGAAUGCAACUGGUUCUUCAAAAAAAUCUAAGUCCACUAUCAUAAUACUCAUAGUGCAAGUUGUUCAGCAAACCAAAGCACCAAUACCAAUAUCGUCAAAUUUUCUUUAUAGACAUCAGAACAUUGAAUUGAAAAUAAAGUGCAUCUGUGUCGUGCUGAACUCUCAACUGUCGAAGGAACGAAAGACGUGACUUAAGUUUGAAAUGAGAUUUGCUUCAGUGUCUUUUAACCAUUUAAUUCAGUCGAAGGCAGGAGGAUCUCGAGAAGGCAGGAUGAUCUCGAGACUUUUUCAUUCUACCGUAGUAAAUCUUGAUUUAAAUGCAAAGAUCAAGUGACGUGAGAAGAAGAAUUAUUUCUUCUCAGAUAACUCACGGAUGUAUUCUAACCGUAAAUAUCACUAUUCAUGGUGGAGGUGGCGGUGGUGUUGUUCGUAUUAGUAUCGGCCAUAAUCGUUUAAGCAAAAUCUCACAUGGUGAGAAGAGUUUUUGAAAAAAUUGGCAAGAAUGAUGCCAAGUUGGCGAACGAAAGGUAUUUCUCUUAUUUGUAUCAGAAAGAAAAGAAUCAUCUACUGAUCUAGGCUUGCUUAGGUUGGCAUAGACGCAAAGGAGAAUCUUCAAAAACAAGUUAUAGACUAUUCUUUGCGAUUUCACGCUUGUAACGGACAACGCUAAGUAUGUAUGUAUGUAUGUAUGUAUGUAUUAAGGCUGUAUCAUGCGCGGGGACAUAGAAAUAAUCGGACUGAAUACCUGAUCGCACUGUUAAACCAUUGGGAGUGAAGGACUCCUAGCCUUUGUUAGGGCAUCCUUCUAGGAGAAGGUAACUCAGGUAACUGGGAUAACUCCGAUAUAAAACCUGCGGCUCAGUGGUUACCGAUGAUGUUGACUUGUUCUUCUAUUCGGAUUAUGGCUGAUGUUGAUUAGUGAGUGGGAUUGACUCAGUGCACAGCCUUUCCUCACUUUAAAAAAAAUCUUCUUGCACAGGCAUUGCAUGAUAACAACAUUGAUUAAGCUUCGUGCAAUGGCCAUACUCGAUAACAAGAGGGCAGCCACCAUGUAUGUAUGUAUGUAUGUAUGUUUGUAUGUAUAUAUGUAUGUAUGUAUGUAUGUAUGUAUGUAUGUAUGUAUGUAUGUAUGUAUGUAUGUUUGAACGAACAGAUAUAUGUAUUAAAUGUGCUUGUCGUUUUAUUAUUCAAUACGGCGCACUGGCUGAAUCGUUAGCACAUCCUGGCAAAAGGCUGAGCGGCGUUUCGUCCGUCUUUACAUUUUGAGUUCACAUUCCCUGGAGGUCGACUUUGUCUUUCAUCCUUUCAGGGUCGAUAAAAUAAGUACCAGUUAAACACUGGCGUCGAUGUAAUCGAUCUGUGCCCUACCACAAAGUUUUAGGCCUUGAGAAUGGAGAGGAUGUGUUUGAUUAAAUUUACCAGAUUUUGUAAUAAAUUCAUAAUGUUAUUUAAUAAUUAGUUAAAAUAUAUAUUACAUGUGCUCUUUGUUAUGAAAUUACAUUCGUAACGUACAGGUAUCGAUGUGGAGUGAAGAAACUCUACCUGCAACCAUAAGGUUUCAGGUUAGGUUUCUCUUUGUAACGCUUUGAGCAAGUAUGUUCUACUAUAGCCCCGGACGACCACUUAUGAGUGUAUUUGCUAGACUGAAACCUGUGCGGAUGCCGGUCGUACAUACAUACAUACAUACAUACAUACAUACAUAUAUAUAUAUAUAUAUAUAUAUAUAUAUAUAUAUAUAUAUAUAUAUAUAUAUAUAUAUAUAUAGGUUAGCAUAUAUAUAUAUGUAUAUAUUUAAAAAGGUUUGAAUGUGGAUUCGUCCUUUAAUUGGAGUAGUUUCCAAAAGAUUUCUAACGUUGAUUCUUCAUAAUUUGUUUUGAAUUUACUGAUGUAAAUUAGCGUAGAUAUGAAAGGUUAUAUAAGUAUAUUAAGUAUAUGAUGUAAGAUAUAGAACGAAGUUCGACAAAUUCAAUCAUUUUUUCGUAAAUGGAGGAGAUUAGACGUUAAUAUUGAAUAAAAUAUUUUUUAUUCAUUUCGCUAUACGAUCGUUUCGUACAGAAAGACAAUAAAUUCAUUUUAAACAGACAUGACCCCAACAACAAUUACAAAUUACAAAAAUUAGUAAGAACACCAUACCUACGUAAUUCUAAAGUACCCCUUUUUUCUUUAUUUAGUUUUUAUUAUUUUUUCUUAUUGUGCUACUGGUGAGUACUCUUUGACAACUCAGAUGCUUAAAAUGAAUUUAUUCUCUUUCUGUACGAAACGAUCGUAUAGCGAAAUGAAUAAAAAUAUUUUAUUCUUAUAUUAAUAUUUAAUCUCCAUUUACGAAAAAAUGAUUGAAUUUGUCGAACUUCGUUCUAUAAAUUAAAUAACUUAAAUCAUUUACAUAGUAUAUAUAUACAUACAUAUAUAUGUAUGUAUAUAUAUAUAUAUAUAUAUGUGUGUGUGUGUGUGUGUAUGCAUGUAUGUGUGUGUGUUUGUGUCUGUGUUAGUAUCAGUGUUUGUCCCUCUCGCAACACCACAGCUUGACAAGCGGUAUUGAUUCCGUUUACGCCCCCGUAACCAAAUAGUGGAACGAAUCGUACUGGGUACGAUUCGUUCCACUAAAAACGCUUCCGAGCGAUGCCCCAGCAUGUCCGUAGCCCAGUGACUAAAACAAACGAUAAAGGAUAAAUGGUCUAUUUUAUAUUCAAACUGAAUUUGGUUCAUAUAUCAAUAAUUUCCCAUACAAGUGGUUUCGUAAAUUUUAUUGGCUUAUGUAUAUAUAUACGUUGUAUCUAUAGAAAUGAAUUUGUAGAGUUGCUGUUCUAUAGUUUGGUUUACUAAAUUAUUAAUAAAUAACUUUUAUAAAUAAUUGCUAUAAAUCUCUUGUUUUAAUUUUUUUUUCUCUUUUUCAGGUAUUUCUGAAUAAGGAAUUUUACAUUUGAUGGCUUUUAUAUCUACGUCACCAC